rnacentral:rRNA from 1 species
UACAGAGGGGGCGAGCGUUAUUCGGAAUUAUUGGGCGUAAAGGGCGCGUAGGCGGCCGUGUAAGUCUCGGGUGAAAUCCCUCGGCUCAACCGAGGAACUGCCUUGGAUACUGCAUGGCUUGGGGCCGGGAGAGGGUAGUGGAAUUCCCAGUGUAGCGGUGAAAUGCGUAGAUAUUGGGAGGAACACCGGUGGCGAAGGCGGCUACCUGGACCGGUUCUGACGCUGAGGUGCGAAAGCGUGGGGAGCAAACAGG